rnacentral:tRNA from 1 species
CAGAGUAUAGCGCAGUCUGGUAGCGUAUCUGUUUUGGGAACAGAAAGUCGCAGGUUCAAAUCCUGCUACUCUGA